rnacentral:rRNA from 1 species
UACGCAGGGACCAAGCGUUGUUCGGAUUUACUGGGCGUAAAGGGCGCGUAGGCGGCGUGACAAGUCACUUGUGAAAUCUCUGAGCUUAACUCAGAACGGCCAAGUGAAACUGUUGUGCUAGAGUGCAGAAGGGGCAAUCGGAAUUCUUGGUGUAGCGGUGAAAUGCGUAGAUAUCAAGAGGAACACCUGAGGUGAAGACGGGUUGCUGGGCUGACACUGACGCUGAGGCGCGAAAGCCAGGGGAGCAAACGGA